UGGGGAAUUUUGGACAAUGGGGGCAACCCUGAUCCAGCAAUGCCGCGUGAGUGAAGAAGGCCUUCGGGUUGUAAAGCUCUUUUGUCCGGAAAGAAAUCCCCUGGGUGAAUACCCCGGGGGGAUGACGGUACCGGAAGAAUCAGCACCGGCUAACUACGUGCCAGCAGCCGCGGUAAUACGUAGGGUGCAAGCGUUAAUCGGAAUUACUGGGCGUAAAGCGUGCGCAGGCGGUUGCACAAGACAGAGGUGAAAUCCCCGGGCUCAACCUGGGAACUGCCUUUGUGACUGUGCGGCUAGAGUGUGUCAGAGGGGGGUAGAAUUCCACGUGUAGCAGUGAAAUGCGUAGAGAUGUGGAGGAAUACCGAUGGCGAAGGCAGCCCCCUGGGAUAACACUGACGCUCAUGCACGAAAGCGUGGGGAGCAAACAG
rnacentral:rRNA from 1 species